AGCCAUUCUCGGGGCGGGGUGAAAUUCCCCACCGGCGGUGAUCCGGAUUUUUCCGGUAAGCCCGCGAGCGCUCAAUGCGUUGAUCUGGUGAGACUCCAGAGCCGACGGUCAUAGUCCGGAAGAGAGAGGAUGCCG
rnacentral:ncRNA from 2 species